AAGAAGGGAUAAGAAUCAAUAAGUACUGCUAAUCCUUACAUACCGAGGUUAAAAUCCGCGGCUUUCUUA
rnacentral:tRNA from 1 species